rnacentral:rRNA from 1 species
UACGGAGGGUGCAAGCGUUAUCCGGAUUCAUUGGGUCUAAAGGGUGCGUAGGCGGACCUGUAAGUCAGUGGUGAAAUCUCUCAGCUUAACUGAGAAACUGCCAUUGAUACUGCAAGUCUAGAGUAUAGAUGACGUUGGCGGAAUAUGACAUGUAGUGGUGAAAUACUUAGAUAUGUCAUAGAACACCGAUUGCGAAGGCAGCUAACGAAACUAUAACUGACGCUGAGGCACGAAAGUGCGGGGAUCAAACAGG